CUCGUGGUAAGCUCAAUAUUUGACGGUAUACUUUCAACCGUAAUCCUUCCAAAAUUUCGAAUGUUAGAAAUGAGAUUUUUAAUUGCAGUGUUGAUACGAAAUGACAGAACAAUCUUUUUCAAAUUCUCGCUACCGGAUAUUGACCUGAUAUAUUCAUUUUUGUCAGAGACCUCCUUUUCAAUUCGUUUCAUAGACAAAAAAGUCUGAAGAUCAGAAGUAUUCUGUUUGAUAUCUGAAAUACUAUCCUGUAAUGACAACAUUUCUUGUUGUUUUUCCUCUAGAGAAAUUAACAGUUGACGAAUUUUUCUACUCUCCUUAUCUUCCGAUGCACAUAGCUCCUUUAUUAUAUCUGCUUGUAUUUUGUCGAUAUGAUUAUUGAUCGCUAUUCGGGUCUCUGCUAUUUCUUUUUCAAUCUGUUUCCGAGUCUCAGAUAAGGUCAGCUGGUUCUUUUGUCGGUCUUGUCGGAUUUUUCCAAUAUUUUCGACUACUUCUACCAAUGUCUGCUGGAUUUCGUAGAAUGCAUAUGAUGUCUUGGAAUUUUUAAUGACAUCAUCUAGUUUUACAAUUUCAUCGCAUCUAUUGUGACUUUGUACAAUGCAGCUGCUACAAAAAGGGCAUUCAUGCUUCUUGCAGUAAAUGAUGUACUUUUCAUUGUGCUUGUCACAGAACUGAGAAAUAUUGAUAACAUCACUUGGUAAUUUACGAUAUUCGGAAAUUGGUAUAAAUAGUUAUCAAAGGUACCAGGAUUAUAAUUUAGUACGCCAGACGCGCGUUUCGUCUACAUAAGACUCAUCAGUGACGCUCAUAUCAAAAUAUUUAUAAAGCCAAACG
rnacentral:lncRNA from 1 species